CAUUAUAGAUCAGGCUCAGUUCUCUCUACAUUGACAUGACGUUGCAUCAAGGUCGAUUUUUUCUUCAUGAUAACAUUGAUGAGAAAAACUUAGUGCAGUAGUAAUAAUCGAACUCGACCAUAACAAUAAGAAAAUACUUUCCCAAUGAUGUAGUUAUGAUGUUUCGAUCUCUGAUGCUUAACAAUGUACAAUACAAUACACUAACGUCAACUCGGUAUAUAUAAAAUUCCAAAAAACUCCUCAAACGCUUUCCGAAACAAACAAAUUUCUAUAAAACUACUAGCAAUGAAAUUGAAUUGCUAUCCAGAGCAAGCCUUCUCAUGAUUAUAUGUGGAUAUUUUAUGUAUGUUUAUAUGUAUAAGCGUUUAUCAGUUCAUUACGAAUCUAAUCGACAUCCAAUUUUGUAGAUUAUGACAAUUACAUGACGUAAGACUCACAUACAAGCUACAGAUUGUGCACAUCGCAACAAUUUGAUAAAACAUUUUGGGCCAAUGGUUUACUGAUUCGAUAAAAAUAUAAUUCAGCAGGAUAAAAUCAUCAUCGAUAGUACAUUCAUUGGAUAAAACCAUCAGUCGAUGGUUGUAUUGAUUGGAUUAAAUCUUCAGUCGUUAUUGGAUUGAUUGGAUGAAGUCAUCAGUCGUUGGUACACACAUUGUGUAAAAUCAUCAGUCGAUGGUACACUGAUUGGAUGAAAUCAGCAGUCGAUGAUGCACUGAUUGGAUGAAAUCAGCAGUCGAUAAAACAUUGGUUGGACAAAACCAAUUAUUUUUUGUUUGUUUUUGUUUAUUUUUUUUGUUACUCUUUCCCUUAAGUUUGUUUGUUUGCUUGUUUGUAUUUUGUAACAGUGCAACCACAUUUCUUAUGAAAAGUGUUGUCAAAGCA